CCAAAUCUACUCCUUUCUGUACUCUCUACUCUCUCUCUCUCUCUCUCUCUCUCCAUCUUCAAAACCGCGUUUUUUGCGUCAUCACUGACCUUAAAAAUUUUCCACUGUAUACUUUUCUGAAUACAUAUAUACACAUUAUCUCCCAGAAAUUUCUAGCAUUGUUUGUCUCAAUAUAUACCCAAACCAUUUCCUUUUCUUCCCUUCAUUGUUUUCUUUUUCUCCAAUUCCUGAACUUUUUCUACCAAAAAUAAGCAAUUAUCUGUGUACAAUAAGCGAGGAAGGUGUAAAAAGAAUGGACAGUAGCAAUCAGUUCUGGCAAUUUAGCGAUAAUCUGCGUUUACAGGCGAACAAUUUGGCAAAUCUGUCGCUGAAUGAUUCAAUAUGGAGCACCAACUACACCUCUAAGCGGCCGGUGGAGGAGCGGCAGAACUUUGAUAUAAGAGUCGCCGGCGGGGAGUUGAACUCAGUCAAUUUGAUCAAUCCAGGUUUCAAUUCAGUCAAUAAUGAUUUAAAAUCUGAUUUCAACAAUUUCAAUGUCGGAUUUAGCAAUGAUGGAUGGAAAACUGGUAACAUAAACUCUGGCUUCGGGUCUGUCGGUCUGAACGGUGGGUUCAAUAAAGGGAUUUAUUCAAGCCCAUCACCGAAUUUCAACAAAUUCAACAAGGGUAAGAAUGUUCAUAAUACUAAUGUUGUGGUGAAUGGGAAAGUGAACAAGGGAGGUAAAAAUGAUGAGGAAAAUGGGCAUAGCCAUAGCCAAGGGAAAAAUGGGAAGAAAAAUAAGAACAAUAAGGAUAAUACUAACAAUAAUAACAACAAUGGUGAGAACAAAAGUGCUGCAGACAAGAGAUUCAAGACUUUGCCUCCCUCCGAAUCGUUGCCGAGAAAUGAGACCGUUGGUGGCUAUAUUUUUGUCUGCAACAAUGAUACAAUGCAAGAGAAUCUCAAUCGCCAGCUCUUUGGUAAGUUUUUUGCUACUGUUCUUAGAAUUCAAUCACAAUCAUUUAUUUUUCUUGCAAUUUUAUACUGUGCUUACUGCUUAAUGCAUUUUUUGCUGAAGAAUUUUUAUUUUUCAAUGUGUUAAUUUGUGUCGGUUAAUGUUGUGAACUUGACGUUUUAAAGAUUCUGGCUUUUGUAUUUUGGUGGGUGGGUCUUCGAGAUCGUUUUGAUAACCUUUUAUAAAGUGAUCAUCUGUGAUUAAUAUACCUUAGAUGAUCUGAUACAAACAGGAUUAGUUUGGAGAAUUGCAUGAGUAAUUAAUCUGUCAAAUUAGCAGAUUGUUGGAGAAUUAUGUAAUAUUUCUUUUCCCCCAGGAGGUGUGUGAUUGUUCAUGAUCGUGAUCGGAAGAUCUAAUUUCUGGUUAUAAUUAUCCAGGUUUGGUCGAAAGAACAUGCUCAAUGUCAUUUGUUAGAUCAGAGGAUGGGUUUAGUUUAGGUUUUUUGUCAUUAGUCCAGGUUAGAAAGUUUUGAUAGUGGAGGUCAUUGCGAACCUAAAAUUCCUUCGAACUUCAGCUAUUGAAAUUAAUUUACGGGAUCUAGAUCAUGAAAUAAUACGCAGUUGAAGACAAAAUACACAUAUUUGAAGCUGAGAUUUGUUUGUCUUAGUUUGUGUUUUGCCGUUACACAUGUUUGAUUUUUCUGGUAUUUCAUAGUUUCUGUUUGUUAUUUGAGUGUAAUGCUUUCAUUGUUUGUGCAUCUCUUAAUGUGCUCCAAUAAUGACUUCAGGUUUGCCUCCUCGCUACCGAGAUUCAGUCCGAGCAAUAACUCCAGGAUUGCCUCUCUUCCUCUACAACUACUCAACCCACCAACUCCACGGAAUUUUUGAGGUUCGUUUUUGGUUUUUAUUAAGAUGAAAUCUAUCAGUCCAUACUUCUUGCAAUCAGAUGAAAGAUAGGCAUCCAAAAUCUAGAACACUUGAUCUAAUAAAUACUGACCUUACAUGCAAACGAUUCUUUUCAGGCUGCAAGCUUUGGUGGCACAAAUAUUGAUCCAACUGCUUGGGAGGACAAGAAAAACCCUGGGGAAUCGCGCUUCCCUGCUCAGGUACGUUUACUAAUGGACCUUACUCUCGACUGUGUACCAUUAGUACUUUUUUAGUCUGCAGUCUUCAAUCCCAAUAUCAAACCAUAAUUUACAAGGGACGUGUUGUCGUUUUAGGAGAUUAAUGCGUAUUAUAUUAGUUGGGAGUUUCGAGUAUAUGGUUUCACUAUGAACAUGUUAAUGAUCUUUGGAUAUUAUGAGUUUGAGAUUUACGAAUGUAAACAUUUCCAGGUGCGCGUGCUGACAAGGAAGGUUUAUGAGCCUUUGGAAGAGGACUCUUUCAGACCAAUUCUUCACCAUUACGAUGGUCCUAAGUUUCGGCUUGAACUGAAUGUCCCCGAGGUAAUUGUUCUUUAAGACUCACAUCAGUCAACAAUGUUCUUAAACGAAAUGAAUUAGCAUCAAAACUUCGACCUAAUGUUUUAUGUUGCACAUUGAAUGUUCCAGGCGAUCUCCCUUUUGGACAUUUUUGCAGAAAAUGAUCCUUGAACACAUGGCACUGAAAGUACAGGCAAACGCAUACAAUACACGGGAGAUGAACAGAUAUUAAUGUAUAGAAUGAUAGGAGUUCUUUGAAGAGGCAAAUACUCCACUUUUCUGUAUUAUGGGAAUGCAUAUUAUGCUGUAGAAAAUAAUGAAGAAGGAUUUGAAACUUGUUUGAAUAUGUAUCUUCCUAUGAUUGUUAUACAAAGUCCUAUGUUGUCGUGUGUUAGCAAAUGCAGUUGUAAGUUAUAUAGCGGCAUUUAUGUUCUACGUGAAUUGUUUACUUUAUAACCAUUCAAUACCCUCAAGAAACCAUUCAAUUUGCAAAAAAUUGAUCUCGUGGAUAGGAAUUUCCAUAGUCUGUAUCAUCUUGUAGCUUGUUCAAGCGGGCUGAUCCUUGCCUAGUGCAAAGAGGUCACGGAAGUUGGUGACCUGAUAAUAAGGAAGCCGGUGAACGGCUUCCAUAAGUAAAACGGUCGAUAUGAACUAUUGUAUAUUAUAUGCAUAGCAUAGUUAGUCUGUCUACUGUUGAUGGUAAUUAUAGCCCUUGUUCCUCAUUCUUUGGGAAAAAAUGCAUUUUUCUAUAGUACUUCGACAUCAUUUCAACCACACAUUAUUCAAUAAAAUAGUAUUACACGUAAAUCUGAAAUUUUUCUUUAUUUUUAACUACACAUUUUCUAUUAA
rnacentral:lncRNA from 1 species